rnacentral:rRNA from 1 species
GAUGAACGCUAGCGGGAGGCCUAACACAUGCAAGCCGAGCGGUAUUGUUUCUUCGGAAAUGAGAGAGCGGCGUACGGGUGCGUAACACGUGUGCAACCUGCCUUUAUCUGGGGGAUAGCCUUUCGAAAGGAAGAUUAAUACUCCAUAAUAUAUUGAACGGCAUCGUUUAAUAUUGAAAGCUCCGGCGGAUAGAGAUGGGCACGCGCAAGAUUAGCUAGUUGGUGAGGUAACGGCUCACCAAGGCGAUGAUCUUUAGGGGGCCUGAGAGGGUGAUCCCCCACACUGGUACUGAGAUACGGACCAGACUCCUACGGGAGGCAGCAGUGAGGAAUAUUGGUCAAUGGGUGCAAGCCUGAACCAGCCAUCCCGCGUGAAGGACGACUGCCCUAUGGGUUGUAAACUUCUUUUGUAUAGGGAUAAACCUACCCUCGAGAGGGUAGCUGAAGGUACUAUACGAAUAAGCACCGGCUAACUCCGUG